UACGUAGGGUGCAAGCGUUGUCCGGAAUUAUUGGGCGUAAAGAGCUCGUAGGCGGUCUGUCGCGUCGGCUGUGAAAACUCGGGGCUCAACCCCGAGCCUGCAGUCGAUACGGGCAGACUAGAGUGCGGUAGGGGAGACUGGAAUUCCUGGUGUAGCGGUGAAAUGCGCAGAUAUCAGGAGGAAUACCGGUGGCGAAGGCGGGUCUCUGGGCCGUAACUGACGCUGAGGAGCGAAAGCGUGGGGAGCAAACAGG
rnacentral:rRNA from 1 species